AGACUCCCGCCCUCGGCCCUCCACGCGGCUCCGACCCAACUCUGCCCGAACUCCGAGAGCUGGGCAUGGCCCCGCCAUGCGGAACGUUUUGCUGCCAAGGGCCCCGGCUGGUCUCCCCGCGGGUUACCUGGGUCCCGCCCCGCACCCCAUCCCGCACCCAGUCUUCGGGAGGCCGGGUCGGGCUGCCCUUGGGGAGGUGACAAGUGACGCGAACAGUUGAGAGGCCUGGCCACACACCUGCGUGGAUGUGGACGGAAGCAUGAUUCCCACUGGACCUCGCCUCAGAGAGUUUCAGCUGGACCUUAUGGAAAAGUCACAGCUAGGAGAUGGCUGGGGAGCUGUGAAGGGGUCUGUAUCCAGCUGGCAGUAUUUGCUGAUGAGCUGAACGUGGCUGUGACAGACGAGUCAAGGAUGCCUCCAAAGUUUCCAGUCUGAACACGUCCAAGAAUGGUGAGGCCACUGAUGAGAGGGGAGUCAAGGGAGGAGCAACUUGGGGGAGAAUAUCAGGAGCUCCAAUUUGGACACAUUGGGAAGUCCAUUGGCCUUCCCAGGGAGGCAGCGAGGAGGCAUCUGGGGGGACAGCCUGGAACUUGGGUGCAAGAUCUGAGCGGAAGAUGGAAGUGUGGGAGUCAUCGAGACGGUAUUUAUAGCCACGAGGCUGCCUGAGGUCACUCCGGGAGGCAGGGUGGAUGGCGAGGUCCCAGGCUGGGCUCUGGGGCUCUCUGAAUAAUUUAUUGGAUAAUAAUUACCACCGUUUUAUUCCUUGAAGCAUCUGGCACGGUGCCUGGCUCUCCAUAGAAGUUCGCCGAAUUGAGCAGAACUCUAUGGCACUUCAUUUCCCACAUGUUUUCCCUGCUAGUCAGGGCUCCCAUGCUAUCUUAGCGGGAGAGCUGGAAGUUAGAAUCAUUCAGUUAAAUGGGAAAUGAGAUAUUCUUUAGGAAUUUCUCAGAAUCGGAAGGGAACUUUGCCCUCAAAUUCCCACUCCAACAGUGAAAGUUCUUGUAAAGACAAAAAUUCCAUGUGCUGCAGACCCCAGAAGUCAGAGCCGCAAGCCCCCUCUCAUCUCCACGCCUUAACCCACGCUCGGCUCCCUGAGGUCCAGAUGUUUUAUUUUUCCUGAUCUUGGGAGAACUUUACAACGGGAAGUUUGCUCUGCAGAGAACUUGGCCGCACGCAUGGAGCCCUGCGGUCUGUCCUUCGCUCAGGGCGCCCAGGAUGCCUGCGUGGACAAAUACUGCCCUCGCCGCCUUGCUCCCGGCCCUGAGAGCGGCGGCACUGGAAUAGCAGCAUGAAUCACUUGAACCGUGACGCCCAGGACGCCUUCUGUGGAGCUGCUGCUGGUGUCCAGGGAGCCGGGGAAGGGGACCCUGCCCCCUGCCCACCCAGGGGCUCCGAGUUCGCCAGCAACCUGGAGAAGCCCAGUCGGUGGGAGUGAUGGGAGUGAACAUUUCUCACUGUUCAGACGUGGCUUUACCAUGACACCGAUUCAGCUUAAGCUUUAGGGUCUCCCUUCUGCAGCGCCAUACCUCGUGUUUUAAUUUGCAUUUUUCUUUUCUGAAAGAAGGCUCUCACAUUUUUAUAAGUGUCAGGUCUGACAGGACUUGAGUUUGGGUUAUUUCGUUUAAUCCUCGUAGCAACGUUGGGAAGUCACUGGCACCUCAUCAUCUCUUUACGGACAAGGUCAUAGAGCAUAGGAAAGCCAUCUUUGGGUCCCUUGAAAAUUCCACACUUGUUCAGCCCUGCAUCCUCCGUUACCUUUCCUGGCACCUCGUCCCUGGCUGGCUUCUCCACCCCCCCCCAGGUCUCAGGGGCCUUCACUAUGCACCCACCUUUAAGGGCCCCUUCCUUUCCUGCCUCCCUGGUUAUUCUCUGUCCCUUACCAUUUGCUUUCCUUAUAAGUCUAGAAUUAUCUUCA